rnacentral:rRNA from 1 species
GUAGCAAUACCGGGUGGCGACCGGCGCACGGGUGAGUAACGCGUAUGCAACUUGCCUAUCAGAGGGGGAUAACCCGGCGAAAGUCGGACUAAUACCGCAUGAAGCAGGGGCCCCGCAUGGGGAUAUUUGCUAAAGAUUCAUCGCUGAUAGAUAGGCAUGCGUUCCAUUAGGCAGUUGGCGGGGUAACGGCCCACCAAACCGACGAUGGAUAGGGGUUCUGAGAGGAAGGUCCCCCACAUUGGUACUGAGACACGGACCAAACUCCUACGGGAGGCAGCAGUGAGGAAUAUUGGUCAAUGGGCGUAAGCCUGAACCAGCCAAGUCGCGUGAGGGAUGAAGGUUCUAUGGAUCGUAAACCUCUUUUAUAAGGGAAUAAAGUGCGGGACGUGUCCUAUUUUGUAUGUACCUUAUGAAUAAGGAUCGGCUAACUCCGUGCCAGCAGCCGCGGUAAUACGGAGGAUCCGAGCGUUAUCCGGAUUUAUUGGGUUUAAAGGGUGCGUAGGCGGCCUUUUAAGUCAGCGGUGAAAGUCUGUGGCUCAACCAUAGAAUUGCCGUUGAAACUGGGAGGCUUGAGUAUGUUUGAGGCAGGCGGAAUGCGUGGUGUAGCGGUGAAAUGCUUAGAUAUCACGCAGAACCCCGAUUGCGAAGGCAGCCUGCCAGGCCAUGACUGACGCUGAUGCAC